UACGGAGGGGGCUAGCGUUGUUCGGAAUUACUGGGCGUAAAGCGCACGUAGGCGGAUCAGUCAGUUAGGGGUGAAAUCCCAGGGCUCAACCCUGGAACUGCCUUUAAUACUGCUGGUCUGGAGGUCGAGAGAGGCGAGUGGAAUUCCGAGUGUAGAGGUGAAAUUCGUAGAUAUUCGGAGGAACACCAGUGGCGAAGGCGGCUCACUGGCCCGAUACUGACGCUGAGGCACGAAAGCGUGGGGAGCAAACAGG
rnacentral:rRNA from 1 species